AAGUCUCUUUGCAUAGGCGCCGUUUCACAUUUUUGUUUGAACUUCACUCUCUCAGAAUUGGGUCUCUGUCUCCCAUUCCCCAUCUUCGAUUCUUCUCUGUGUCUCCCAAGUUCGAACUCCGUUGCUCUCUCAGUCUCUCAGGAAAUGGAAUUGAACAUGAUUUCAGGAAAUGGAAAUGCAUUUGGAAUUAGUUCAGUGCCUGGUCGUGCAUCUUCUGGAAAUGGAACAUGAUUGUGGGGCUCUACAAUUAUGGUUUGGCCGUGGUCACAAUGGAAACUGGUCUGCUAGAGAAGUUGACAGUCUUGCAGACCAAGAGAAACCUAUCCAGACACUGUCUAGAAUCCAUGAUUGUCAAUAGCCUAGGACUCGGAUUGGCCCUGCUUUUUGGCAUUGUAUUAUUGGCUGCCGUUUUAAGUGAAGUGGCUACCUUUUCACUGCAGCCGCCAUCUGCUUGAUGGAAUGGGCAACAGAUCACAUGGACACACACGAACACAUUUGUUUUCUAAUCUGGAUCUUAGCACUGCAAAAAACUAUUGCUGACAGUUUGAUUAGUUUGUAUACAGACUGUUUGGCUGGUUUAGGCGAGAAUUUCUUGAAGAUUGGGAAGAUUACUCCAUUCUGAGUGUGGAAAUAUUAAAGCUUGCGUCAUUUUGUAGUUUGGUGAUAUUAGCAAGCGAGAAUUCCCGGUAAUGGGUGGUAAAAGUAUGUUUAAAUGGCCUAAACAAAUAACGCCUUCCCUAGUUGAGAAGUUGAUACGGGCAGAAAAGGACGUACAGAAAGCUACUCUAAUAUUUGAUUCGGGGACAGCUGAGUAUGUUAAUGGGUUUCGGCAUGAUCAUAAUACCUUUGGUGCAAUGAUCUCCAAAUUAGUUUCCGCAAACCAGUUCAGACCGGCGGAGGAGCUCCUUAAUAGAAUGAAGGAGGAAAAGUGUAGUAUUACCGAAGAUAUAUUCCUCUCCCUGUGCAGAGCCUUCGGUCGGGUUCACAGGCCCCUGGAUGCCAUUAGGGUCUUUAACAAGAUGGAGGAAUUCCAGUGCAAACCCAGUGAGAAAUCUUACAUUACAGUUUUUGCAAUUCUUGUUGAAGAAAACCAGUUAAAGAUGGCUAUAAAAUUUUAUAGGCAUAUGAGAGGUGUGGGUAUACCUCCUUGUGUUGCUUCCCUUAAUGUUUUGAUUAAAGCCCUUUGCAAGAACAGCGGGACAAUGGAAGCUGCUUUUCGAAUAUUUCGAGAGAUGCCCAAUCGUGGUUGUACUCCAGAUUCAUAUACGUAUGGUACCCUGAUUAAUGGGUUGUGUCGAUUGGGAAAGGUUGGAGAAGCAAAGGAGUUAUUAAAAGAGAUGGAGACAAAGGGUUGUUUGCCCAGUGUUGUGACGUAUACUUCUUUGAUUCAUGGUUUGUGCCAGUCUGGAAGUUUGGAUGAAGCUGUUGGAUUGCUCGAAGAGAUGAAGAUCAGAGAAAUUGAGCCAAAUGUGUUUACCUAUAGUGCUUUAAUGGAUGGUCUUUGCAAGGGUGGGCGUUCUUCACAAGCCAUGGAGCUCCUGGAGAUGAUGAUUAGCAAACGGCAUAGGCCCAAUAUGAUAACUUAUAGCACUUUAAUUCAUGGACUCUGUAAAGAUGGAAAGCUUCGAGAAGCUUUGGAGAUUCUUGACAGGAUGAAACUUCAUGGACUGAAACCAGAUGCAGGGUUGUAUGGUAAAAUCAUUAGUGGCUUCUGUGACAUCUGCAAGUUCCAGGAAGCUGCAAACUUCCUUGAUGAAAUGGUCCUUGGGGGAAUCUCACCGAACCGAUUAACUUGGAGCCUUCACGUUAAGAUUUAUAACAUGGUGGUCCAAGGCCUUUGUACUAAUGGUGAUCCAAAUCGAGCUUUUCAGUUAUACCUUAGUAUGCGAACUAGGGGUAUCUCAAUUGAUACUGGAACAUUUGAUUUUCUGAUUAAGUGUUUUUCUAAGAGAGGAGACUUACAUAAGGCUGCUCGCAUCAUCGAUGAAAUGGUGAUCGAUGGGUGUCUUCCAACUGAGGGAACGUGGAGUGCAGUUUUUGGUGGAUUUUGGGAUCGAAGGAAGGUGCGGGAAGAUGCUGAGUUUUUGCAGGACAAGCUAAUGAGUGAAUUUGUUGAGCCAGAAUUACAAUUCUGAGCUUUAGUUUAUAGGAUCUGUAUACAAGAAGUUACAUGAAGCAGGACAAAUUUAGAGAAUCUCUUCAUUCCUUCUUUGGUGGGCUUAAGGUUUUGGAAAAUUAGUUGAUCAAGGACUUAGAAUUGUGUAAGGAUGUGUUAGGGUUUAUCAGUUUUUUCUCUCCUGUUUCAGUCAUGGUUCUCAAGGGUUUAUGUUUCGAUUCAUCCUGAUGCUGGGAAUGUGCCUAAAUCUCCCAAAAACUCAGUGUAUGGAAAUAAGCAAGCUUUUUCAGGUUUCAGGAAGGAUGGUGGGACAGGUUAGCUGUGCCUCAAAGAAUUCAGGGCACGUGCCUCAAGGGAUCACUAUAGCCCACAGAGUUUUAAGGGAGGCUAUAGUGUUGGUUCUCCAUGAAGUCUUAAAAAGAGAGGGGGAAGCCAAUUCCAUGGCGCUUGGUAGGAAACACAACAAACAUCAUACUGCAAAUGACACCUAUUCCUACUGGCAGUCUUGUAAGAAUCUCCUGGGUCACAUAUGACGGCAUUGGGAAGAAGCAUCUCACCACAUUCUUAUCAAAGAGCGCUACAGCUAUGAAUACCAGUAUUGACAUGAAGGCGUGCAUGAAAUCUAUGAAGCGCAGCCGGUACUUUGCAGCAAGUUCAGGUGAAAGUUUGGCUGUUCCAUCAAUGAUCCACAGGCCCCUGGAAAGUGGCAAACCCAUAACAAACAUUCCCCUUUUUGUCCUUGAAGCUGUCAGUGAAGCAUAGUAGGAAACAUGAGACCCCACAGAGAGUCACGAGUGCAGCAGUCAUGAACCGGCCGACUGAGUCACAAUUGCCUUCAUUUGUGAAAAUUGGUGAUAGAAGUUGGAAAGCCAGGACUGAUCCAGUCGGUAAAAGAUUGGCCAAAUGAGCUGUGCUCUGAAAUGUCUGGCUAAUGGCUUUCUGUAUCGGUGUUUUCUCCUCUUUUUCAGAUCCAUCUUGCAAGAGCGGAUGUUUUGAUUCAUCAUGAUUCUUGGAAUCAGAUUGUACCUUAAUCUCCAUAGCAUCGAAUCUUUCACUUCUCUUUUCCCUU